rnacentral:rRNA from 1 species
CCUACGGGUGGCUGCAGUGAGGAAUAUUGGGCAAUGGAGGAAACUCUGACCCAGCCACGUCGCGUGAAUGAUGACGGUCCUCUGAUUUGUAAGCUUCUUUUUUAGGGAAGUAGAACGCGACGGUACUUUCGGAAUAUGCCUAGCCUAACUACGUGCCAGCAGCCGCGGUAAUCCGUAGGAGGCGAGCGUUAUCCGGAAUGAAUGGGUGUAAAGGGUGCGUAGGUGGUAUGGCAAGUUAGUAGGGUAAUUCCAGGGCUCAAACUCGGAACUGCUUCUGAAACUGUGAGGCUUGAGUGCAGGAGAGGUAAGCGGAAUUCGUGGUGUAGCGGUGAAAUGCAUAGAUAUUAGGAAGAACACCGAUGGCGAAGGCAGGUUACUGGACUGUAACUGACACUGAGGCACGAAAGCGUGGGUAGCAAACAGGAUUAGAUACCCGUGUAGUC